rnacentral:rRNA from 1 species
UACGUAGGGGGCUAGCGUUGUCCGGAAUCAUUGGGCGUAAAGCGCGUGUAGGCGGUCCGGUAAGUCCGCUGUGAAAGUCGGGGGCUCAACCCUCGAAUGCCGGUGGAUACUGUCAGGCUAGAGUGCGGAAGAGGCGAGUGGAAUUCCUGGUGUAGCGGUGAAAUGCGCAGAUAUCAGGAGGAACACCAAUGCGAAGGCAGCUCGCUGGGACGUUACUGACGCUGAGACGCGAAAGCGUGGGGAGCAAACAGG